rnacentral:rRNA from 1 species
UACGUAGGGUGCGAGCGUUGUCCGGAAUUAUUGGGCGUAAAGAGCUUGUAGGCGGUUUGUCGCGUCUGCUGUGAAAAUCCGGGGCUCAACCCCGGACUUGCAGUGGGUACGGGCAGACUAGAGUGUGGUAGGGGAGACUGGAAUUCCUGGUGUAGCGGUGAAAUGCGCAGAUAUCAGGAGGAACACCGGUGGCGAAGGCGGAUCUCUGGGCCGUAACUGACGCUGAGGAGCGAAAGCGUGGGGAGCGAACAGG